CGCUAAAUAUAAAAUCGAGGUGAAACGUGCAAACCGACUUCAAAAUCAAAUUUGAAAGUCAGCCUUCCUAAAUGUCGUUGAGCAUUGUCGAGCAUGAAAAGUUUGUAUACGGCAUACCGCAUACGCUGACGAAAUAUGGUUUGAAAAAUACGUUUGAAAGAUAGAAGAAUUCAACAGGGAUGUAAAGAAAUUAUGUUUAGAUGGAACGGGCAAAAUUGGGUUAGUUCUUGGUAAUUAAAGUGAGUCGAAUAUUUUCUAUUUGUAAACAUCGUGC